rnacentral:snoRNA from 1 species
CCUCACCCUAGGGCUCCCGGGACCCAGGGGAGAUGCUGCCCCAGAAGCUGA